AGUAUUUUUAUUUAUGUCAUAUAACUCUAGGUUGCAUUUAAGCCCGGCUGUGUUUUAUUGUCCUCUUUCAUGUGGAAUAACAUCUAUCCACUGUCUCUCAUAUGAUCAUGAUUUAAAACCCCUGCAAAGACACAGAUUGCAUCUCUGCGUGUUGGGGUUGCUUGCAUAAGGAGCUGGCUUCCAAGGCAGCACCCCAAAGAGACAGGAGCACUGAUGCUGUAACCUGAAGCCUGGAUUUCAGGGCCAGCUCUGCUACUCACUAACUCAGGCAAAGUGAAGAAAAGAUAUGUAAACUAAAAGUCAUAGUUUGGACCCUGACCACCUCACUGGGCUAUGGCAGGAGAUAAUGAAAAGAAAGAGCUUUGCUAAUUGUACAGCCUGAAGCAGUGGCUGUUUUGACUAUUACCUGGUUAUUCUAUCUUCUGAGGUUUACUAAGUUUUAUAGGUGAGUCAAAGGUAUAUGUAUCUUUAAGAAUAAUUGAGAAAAUGUAUUUUUGAAGGUUUCUGCCAAGUCAUUUAUUUUAUUAGGCUUAACAGUAAUAAAGAACAUGAUGUUGGUUUCUAUGAUCGAUGUAUUGCCAAAGCAGAGAGCCUGUGACUUGGGUCCAAAUACUGAUUGUAGUUGUCCAGUUUUCCUAUGUAUAAGUCAAAUAUAAGAGGAAGAUUUCUCUUUGUACAGAUUCAGCUUGUCUGGCUUAUAAUUGACCAGCAUUGCAAGUCAGGAAAAGAUGCUUAAGAAACGAUUCAAGGAAGAUCAGCAGAGACUGAAUAUUUCCUAAUUUACCUGGAUUUGUGGAUGUUACCAAAUUCAGAUUAUUGUUUCUUCUUUGAAAUCAUUCCUACUUGUUAUCUCAAUGAACUUUAUGUGGCCUAAAGGUUUACCAGCUCCUCCAGAAAUAUGUACCGGAUUCUUUUUUUUUUUUUUCAGCCCCUCUAUCUGCCUGAGCACCUUCUCUUUGGAUAGUUUUCUCCUUUAAAAGACGUACCAGGUGUGAAACAUCUGCAAGAGUCUCUUAAAUUCUUAGUCAUCAGCCUGAUGAUCAUUUCCUUAAGAGAUAGUCUCAGGGACCAUCCAUUGACCAAGACAGAGUUUCUCUUCUAAGCAUCACUGGAAGUUUUCUCUCCAAAAGAGUGAGAAUUCUUUUAACAGGCACUAGUCCUGUAUGGAAGCAGAACAGGCAUACAAGAUAAGCAUAGCCUUACCCAAAGAGAAAAUAUAGUAAGGACCAUUUUCUUUUGCUGAUCUUAGAUUGGAAAACCUUGCAAAAUUGGAUUCAGUCUAUAGAAAUCCCAUUAAGUCCUAUCUAAGCAAAAACUAAGGUUCUUGGCAUAUUUUGCUUAUCAGAGUGACUAACGAGCUAGUUGGUGUGGAUAAGAAGAAUGAGAUUAAUCUUCUGAGAUUCAUAACAUGGAUCAUUUAUUCUAUUUGGAUACAUCUAUGGCUAGGAUGCUGUUGUUUUUGUUAUAUGAAUUUAGUUAUCCAAUUGCUUUUCUCUAUAUGACAGAGUGAAUAAUUAAAUUAUGCAUGUAGGGAAGGAGUGGUACAAAAGAAUUACGUGUUAUCUAUGCUUUCUGUUAUGAAUUUUAUCAAAUUUUUGGAUGUUUUUGUUUGCUUUUCUUUUAAUGCAAAAGAAGCUUACCUUUAGCAAUUUUCAGAACCUGAGAAACAAGAAGAUGGUAAAGAAUAUGUUUGGCCAAUGGAAUUGGGACAGGCAUCAGGAAGUGCAUCUAAAAAAGGCUCUUGACCUGGUUUGAAUGUGAGCCUGUGUGACGAAGAUGAUUUGGACUGAUUAGACCAGAUGGAAGAUUCAGAAGGGACAGUUAUACAAAUAGGUGCGUUCUCUGAAGGCAUCAAUGAUCUGACAGUAAGUUGGUAAAAUGAAUUGAAAAUGUUAUUUUAAAAACGUCUUUCGGAAGAACCCAAAGGACUGCACGCAUUUGGAGAAUGCAUAGUUCUGAGCUCGUGGCUGUCGGUGUGUGACUCCCCGUCUCCCUGUUUCCCAGCACAUGCUAAAAGAAGACAACGUGUUUAAAGACUUUGCUGCCCAUUCCCCAGAUGCCAGCAUCACAGACAAAGACUCAGAUGUUUGACCCUUAGCACCUGGACACUUGUGAAUGAGAGUGUGACUGUUUUUCCUCAUGUAAAAAUAUGUAAUAUAUUCUAUUUAAUAAAGUGUUGCAUUGAAGAUAAAUCUUUUACCACUGUGUUUUCAUUCACAACCACAAUAUAGAGGAUUUGGGAAGCAGGAAUCAGUGUGUGAUUGAUUUUGUCACACUUGGGCUCACUGCAGCUAUCUGAGUAUGACAUUAUGUGCUUUCAAAAUCAGUAUGUGGAAUUCCUUUAAAAAGCAUUCAGUGCACCCACUAAAUGCCAGCCACCCCUCUACUUGCCUCUUAUUGUCUUUUUAUGUAUUUUUCUAAAUAUAUGUGUAUAUAGAGUACAUAGAAAAUAGAGCAUUUAUUUUUUUGACAUAAGGAAGAUGGUGAAAAGAUCACAUUUUUAAAAAAAUAUGGUGAUCAAAAUUUCUUAUACCAGCUGGUUCCUGAAGCAGUCAGAAUGAUCUUUCUUUCACCACAACUGAAUUUUAACAAUGUUGAUCACUGAGGCUAAAUUCAUAUAUAGGAAAUAUUCCUCUUUUGAUGUGACACCACAAAAUUGUCCAGCAGUUAAAGAAUUUCAACCAUAAUCUUGGAUCCUUUUACCUUAUAAGAAAGAACUCAAGGGACAUUAGUAUACUAUUAACUUGAAUAUAUCCAGAAGCCCCUUCUUCCAAAAAAUUUGUAGAAUAAUCCAAAAACAAAACAAAAACCUUUACAGUAUUAAAUUUCUUAUUUUGUCUUUUUAAAAUACAUCAUUACAUCAAAAUUAUAACAGUCUGCCCAAACAUAUUAAGUGUACAUUUCUCAGGCUAUCAAUAGAAUGGAGCUUUUUAAAAAACUGAAUAUUUUUCUGAACACUUUGUUUCAGAGUUCAAAAAAAUUUGAGGCUGCAAAAUUACUUUUAUAAUGUCAAUUUUGUGAUGAUAAAAUGUAGUUCAUGUUUUUCUGUAGCUAGCAAUGGGCCCAAAUAUUCUUUGUAAAGAAAGUAGAAAGUUGCAACAAAAAUCUGCCUCUGUGUUUAUUUUUUUAGGAAUAUUGAAAAAUAUUCUAUUUUUAUUCAGUGCUGCAUAAUUCUUCAUGGUAGCCUGCCAUUCAUUAUUUGGUACCUGCAUUGGCCUCUUACUGUAUUUAGGUUUUAUUUUAAUAUGACUAUAUGUUACCAAUGAAAAACUCAAUUUGUUGUUAUUAAUAGAAUCUGAUCGAGAAUACCAGAAGACUGUUACAGAUGCCAAAAAUUAUCUAUUCAGGACAAUAUAACAUAACUAACUGGCAAUAGGUAAUAAGGUUAAAAAAAUUUUGAUGAUAUAUUUUAUCUAUAAAUAUUAUGCACUGCUGAUAUUAUCAUAUGAAAGGAAAUAAAGUUGAUUGAUAAUUGCUUCAAAUUUUUAUUGUGGUUAGUGUAAGUAAUCUGCCCUCUUCUAUAGUUGUGUGAUUUAUUAGGAAUGGCUGUGAUUUUUGUUUGUAGCAUUGAUAGUUUUAAUAUGCAAUUGGGAAGGUAAAACUGAAGGAUUGUUAUUUUGGUAGUAAGAAUAGAGCAAUU